GUCCAUCUCAUCCAAGGAAACAUUUGCAGAAAUCAAAGACUUAACUUCCUUAUCAAACAUUCUAAGUUCUUGUCUUAAUAUUUUUCAAUAUAGUCAGAUGAAGAUCUUUUUACCUAUUUAAGUUCAUUCAACUUUCCAUUUUUUAUGUUUAGAUAAUGUUUAUUUCAACGAUGUAUACAGAUAUCAAGGGCUCACACUGAAAACAUGCAAGGAAAACAUUGAAGAGGUGAAAAUGAUCAAGCUGAGGACAUCAUUGAAUUCAUCGUUAAUGAAAUACCUUCUUUUCCAACAGAUGGGUAAUAAACAGAUCUGGCUCAAGGUCCGGAGGAUUCUGAGAUGCAAAGAAUGGAAGUAGCUACUGCCUCCACAGCUGAGCUGAAAUUCAACCCAGCAGUGUCCAAGCAAGGGGAUCUCUUCCCGCAGUUCCUGGAAAGCUACAACUUUGGGGGGUGCUCCCCCAGUGCCCGGAGCUCCAAAGGCAGUGCUCUGCUGAGCUGGAGAAAGCUGGACUACCAGGUGUUGGAGAAACCAAUUAAGACAACAAGUCAACAAGCAAGUAAUAGUCAAGCCUUUAAUCACUACCUAGUAUGAACAAGAAGCUACACUGGAGAAUGUGCUGAUUCCUCCUGUUGAUUUUCCCCAUGGAACAGAACCAAGUGAGGGUCUGAUGUAUCAGCGCAGAUGUGGACAUUAUCUCACUCCUGAGGGAGCCCUGAGCAA